GACGAACGCUGGCGGCGUGCUUAACACAUGCAAGUCGAACGAAGUGGCGAACGGGUGAGUAAUACGUGGGUAACCUGCCCUCCUUUUUUGGAUAAGCCUUGGAAACGGGGUCUAAUACCGAAUUACGGGGGAUGGGCUCGCGGCCUAUCAGCUUGUUGGUGUGGGAAUGGCCUACCAAGGCGGUGACGGGUAGCCGGCCUGAGAGGGUGAACGGCCACAUUGGGACUGGGAUACGGCGCAGACGCCUACGAGGUGCAGCAGAGGGGGAUAUUGCAGAAUGGGCGACAGACUUAUGCAGCGACGAUGCGUGGGGGAUGAAGGCUUUCGAGUUGUAAAACUCUGUAGCAAUCUAACGGGUAGGUGGAGAAGAAGCGCCGGCUAACUACGUGCCAGCAGCCGCGGUAAUAC
rnacentral:rRNA from 1 species